GACUACAGCCAUACCACCCUGAAUGCGCUUGAUCUUAUCUGAUCUCGGAAGCUAAGCAGGGUUGGGCCUGGUUAGUACUAGGAUGGGAGAAUAUUUUUUAAAAGGGGGUGAGUUU
rnacentral:rRNA from 1 species